rnacentral:rRNA from 1 species
GCAUCGGCUAACUCCGUGCCAGCCGCCGCGGUAAGACGGAGGAUGCAAGCGUUAUCCGGAAUUAUUGGGCGUAAAGCGUCCGUAGGCGGUUUAUCAUUUCCUGCCGUUAAAGACUGCAGCUUAACUGUGGGCGAGCGGUGGAAACUGAUUAACUAGAGUACGGUAGGGGUAGAGGGAAUUCCCAGUGUAGCGGUGAAAUGCGUAGAUAUUGGGAAGAACACCAGUGGCGAAGGCGCUCUACUGGGCCGUAACUGACGCUGAGGGACGAAAGCUAGGGGAGCGAAAGGGAUUAGAUACCCCUGUAGUC